rnacentral:rRNA from 1 species
AUCUGAACCUUCGGGGAACGAUAACGGCGUCGAGCGGCGGACGGGUGAGUAAUGGCUAGGAUAUUGCCCUGAUGUGGGGGAUAACCAUUGGAAACGAUGGCUAAUACCGCAUGAUGCCUACGGGCCAAAGAGGGGGACCUUCGGGCCUCUCGCGUCAGGAUAUGCCUAGGUGGGAUUAGCUAGUUGGUGAGGUAAGGGCUCACCAAGGCGACGAUCCCUAGCUGGUCUGAGAGGAUGAUCAGCCACACUGGAACUGAGACACGGUCCAGACUCCUACGGGAGGCAGCAGUGGGGAAUAUUGCACAAUGGGCGCAAGCCUGAUGCAGCCAUGCCGCGUGUAUGAAGAAGGCCUUCGGGUUGUAAAGCACUUUCAGUCGUGAGGAAGGUGGUGUCGUUAAUAGCGGCAUUAUAUGACGUUAGCGACAGAAGAAGCACCGGCUAACUCCGUGCCAGCAGCCGCGGUAAUACGGAGGGUGCGAGCGUUAAUCGGAAAUACUGGGCGUAAAGCGCAUGCAGGUGGUUUGUUAAGUCAGAUGU